GAUGAACGCUGGCGGCAUGCCUAAUACAUGCAAGUCGAGCGAACAGACGAGGAGCUUGCUCCUCUGACGUUAGCGGCGGACGGGUGAGUAACACGUGGAUAACCUGCCUAUAAGACUGGGAUAACUUCGGGAAACCUGAGCUAAUACCGGAUAAUAUAUUGAACCGCAUGGUUCAAUAGUGAAUGACGGUUUUGCUGUCACUUAUAGAUGGAUCCGCGCCGCAUUAGCUAGUUGGUAAGGUAACGGCUUACCAAGGCAACGAUGCGUAGCCGACCUGAGAGGGUGAUCGGCCACACUGGAACUGAGACACGGUCCAGACUCCUACGGGAGGCAGCAGUAGGGAAUCUUCCGCAAUGGGCGAAAGCCUGACGGAGCAACGCCGCGUGAGUGAUGAAGGUCUUCGGAUCGUAAAACUCUGUUAUUAGGGAAGAACAAAUGUGUAAGUAACUAUGCACGUCUUGACGGUACCUAAUCAGAAAGCCACGGCUAACUACGUG
rnacentral:rRNA from 1 species